rnacentral:rRNA from 1 species
AAACCAGCACCUCAAGUGGUCAGGAGGAUUAUGGGGCCUAAAGCAUCCGUAGCCUGUUCUAUAAGUUUCCGGUUAAAUCCAUUAGCUCAACUAAUGGGCCGCCGAAAAUACUGUGGAACUAGGGAGUGGGAGAGGUAGACGGUACUCGGUAGGAAGGGGUAAAAUCCUUUGAUCUAUUGAUGACCACCUGUGGCGAAGGCGGUCUACCAGAACACGUUCGACGGUGAGGGAUGAAAGCUGGGGGAGCAAACCGGAUUAGAAACCCCGGUAGUCC